CUCUUGUUCACUCUCGCACCCUUCUGGUGUAGCAGGUGGAAAAGAAACCAAAAGUAAACGCGGCAGCCUGUGGGGCAUGAGCCUAAAGACGAGGGCGAUGCCUUUGGAGCAGGGGGAGCAAUUGCCUUCCUCCCCUCUCAGAAAGGCCCACCAGCCCUUUCGGCAGCACUGUGCACCACAGGAACUGGUGUGAAGCUACCAAGGCUCGGCAGGAGGGAGCCUACCUCGCAGCAACUAGCUGACAUGUCCGGGCACCUACAGGCAGCGCUGGUAUGGGGCGCCACUGGCAUUCCCCGUGUCGAAGUAGCUCCUGAGGAGGACAUCUGGACAGUGAUUUCCAGGCCAACUCAUCCUUCUGGGAGGUGCAGUCCCCAAAGACGCUGGGAAGAGCUUCCAGGCACAAAAGGCUGCAGAAUAUUCAAUUGUGGAAUCACACCGGAGCCUACUCUCAUAUCCAGGAUGUGCCCCAAGCCUAGGAAGCAGCAAAGCCAGACCAGACCAGACCUGCUCUAUCUAGGAACAAAUUCACUUUGUCUGGCAUGCCUUCAGGUCCCUGAUGACGAGUUUUGGACCAAGUGCAUAUUUUCAUCCUGAUUUUUGGUCUUUCAAGUUGCAGCUGUGAGUCUUUGGAGAGUCACUGCUCUCCUCCUGCCAACCCUUCUGCAUGGCAAAGAAUUACCAUGGGGACUGGCAUGCAAACAGCAAGGCCAAAAAUGCUCGUGAACAUACUGAAUACUGAUGAACUAAUGCAACUUCCUUUGUCAUUUUGACGUAACCAGGCUCUCAGAAAAGUAACAGUUACUUUGCUAGGUGUGUAACAGAAGGUUCACUACAUGUUUGCUCUAUCUAUCCUUUUUGUAAUAAAAUGGACCCCCAUUACGUACA
rnacentral:lncRNA from 1 species